rnacentral:rRNA from 1 species
UACCCGCUGAAUUUAAGCAUAUAAGUAAGCGGAGGACAAGAAACUAAAAAGGAUUCCCUUAGUAAUGGCGAAUGAACAGGGAACAGCUCAGCAUGGAAAUCGGGGCCUCCCGGCCUUGAAUUGUAGUCUUGAGACGUGCUACCUACGGAGGCGCAGAUGUAAGCCUCUUGGAAAAGAGCAUCAACGAGGGUGAGAGUCCUGUUUGUCAUCUGCAGUCCCCCGUGCACGGUGCGCGUUCUAAGAGUCACGUUCCUCGGGAUUGGAGCGCAAAGUGGGUGGUAAAUUUCAUCUAAAGCUAAAUAUUGGUUCGAGACCGAUAGCAAACAAGUACCAUGAGGGAAAGGUGAAAAGGACUUUGAAAAGAGAGUUAAAAGUGCCUGAAAUCGCUGAAAGGGAAGCGAAUGGAACCAGUGUUCUUGGUGAGAUUGUUGCGCACUCUAAGGAUUGCUGGCUGUUCAACCGCAAGGGGGGCAGUUGGUUUUGACUUGGUCGUGCGUGGUGUUUCUUGCCCUGUGUGUCACCGUCGGUGCACCAGCGAGUAAACCACCAAGGGCAUGGUACCCUACCCACGGGUGGGCGAAUACCUUUGGCUGCACUCAUUGGUGUAUCGAUCCCUGCGUGUCUGGUUGCAGUGCUCAGUUCGUCUCAGUGCUUCUGCGGGGUUCGUCUCUGUGGGAGUUUCCUGGAGCGCGCGGGGCAUCUCCCUGACACAAAGACGAUGACUAAAUGGUUCUAUUCGACCCGUCUUGAAACACGGACCAAGGAGUCUAACAUAUGUGCGAGUACACGGGUGUUAAACCUGCUUGCGCAAUGAAAGUGACUGCUGGGAUUUUUGCACCAGCAACCGACCAAUCAAUUGAGAGAGGUUUGAGUAUGAGCAUAUCUGUUAGGACCCGAAAGAUGGUGAACUAUGCCUGAGAAGGGCAAAGUCAGGGGAAACUCUGAUGGAGGCUCGUAGCGAUACUGACGUGCAAAUCGUUCGUCAUACUUGGGUAUAGGGGCGAAAGACUAAUCGAACCAUCUAGUAGCUGGUUCCCUCCGAAGUUUCCCUCAGGAUAGCUGGAGUUGAACAGUUUUAUCAGGUAAAGCGAAUGAUUAGAGGAAUUGGAGACGCUGUU